rnacentral:rRNA from 1 species
GAUGAACGCUGGCGGCGUGCCUAAUACAUGCAAGUCGAGCGAACAGACGAGGAGCUUGCUCCUCUGACGUUAGCGGCGGACGGGUGAGUAACACGUGGAUAACCUACCUAUAAGACUGGGAUAACUUCGGGAAACCGGAGCUAAUACCGGAUAAUAUAUUGAACCGCAUGGUUCAAUAGUGAAAGACGGUUUUGCUGUCACUUAUAGAUGGAUCCGCGCCGCAUUAGCUAGUUGGUAAGGUAACGGCUUACCAAGGCGACGAUGCGUAGCCGACCUGAGAGGGGGAACGGCCACACUGGAACUGGAAAACGGUCAAGACUCCUAGGGGAGGCAGCAGUAGGGAAUCUUCCGAAAGGGGGGAAAGCCUGACGGGGCAACGCCGGGUGGGGGAUGAAGGUCUUCGGAUGGUAAAACUCUGUUAUUAGGGAAAAAAAAAUGUGUAAGUAAAUAUGCACGUCUUGAGGGUACCUAAUCAAAAAGCCACGGAUAACUACGU